CACAAAGAGAGACUUAGAGGGACACACAAAAUCAGCAGAACUUCAUACAUUUUCGAGUAAGUAACAAAGAUUUAUAAAAUUGGCAAUAAUACAGUCAGAAAAACCGAAUCAAUUCUCCACCAUUCAAUCUACGUAGAGUGUAGCCUCCAGUCUUUCCUCUCUUUGAUAAAAAAGAUAAUCCACCAUAAAAGCCAUAGCAGCCACACAGGCCGGAGUAAUCAGGAGGCUAACUGUUAUUCUCAGGGCAUACACUUGGUGUCGCUGCGCCUGUUGCCACGAUCCAGAUGCACCGGUAGCAAUUGGUGUCAUGUGUUUGACUCCGGAAGAAGUGUUAAACUUGUAUGUUUUGGUUUUUCACGCCUUGGGAAAUGGAUUUUACUCACGUGGAUGCACCGUGGAAACAACAAACUGACUAUCAUCGUGAAGAUUUAUGGAUUGAAGUGUCGGAUUUUUCCCCCACAUUUUUGGAUGUAACGGAGCUGUGUGGAUUUCCACUAAACGUUAGAGGACGUCUGCAGCCAUACAUCUGUAAAGAUGACAGAAGCUGUGGAACAUUGUGUCACCGAAUCACCGCACGGCGUCCAACGCACGUAGCAUGAUGUUAUUUGAAUUAUUUAAAUUUGUGUGGGCAGAUCAUCAGUGCACUGGCUGCUGAAUUGAGUGGAAUAUAGACUUUGCAUCAGUGGUGGAAGAAGUCUUCACAUCCUUUACCUACGGGGGACCAGCCAAAUAACUGCUCUGUUCUUGCUGUGGACUGGGCUCCAAAAAAGUAAACUAAUGCCUGAGAGGGGAGGAUGAAGUCCAAAGACACACAGAGAUGAUUAAAAGGUUGAAGUUGGGCUGCACUUUCGGUGCCGGACAAGGACCCCAGUGAUAAGUCUGUGCUGACACGAGAGGGAGCAGCAGGACGACGAGGAGGUAGACAGCAGACAUUGUUUCUUCAGAGGCAGAGUGCCUGCAGUAGACAAUGGAUUCUGCAAUCAAUGAAGACAGAGAUGGUACAGAGGUCUUGAUGGAUCUCCAUGAGUCAGCCGAGAACCCAGAGCUGGAGGACGUUACCGAGUUACAUCAUCGACAAG